AAAUCUAUAAAUAGGCCUGUAGUACCCUGAAAAUGGGUCUUCGCCCCUGCGCACAAAAGACCACCUUUAUUUUCCUGCAUCUUUCUUUCCUGCAUUUAUUGCUUUUCCUAGGAGUAGUUCCUGUAACUUAGCCUCCUUGGAGUCUGUCUGCCUCCGGGCAUCACUCCCUUGUACACCUCGGAGUCUGUCUGCCCUCCGGGCAUCACUCCCUUUUUAUUAAUAGAAAGUCGUUUCCG
rnacentral:lncRNA from 1 species